rnacentral:rRNA from 1 species
GGUGAGUAAUACGUAGGAAUCUGCCCUAGAGUGGGGGAUAACCUGUCGAAAGACGGGCUAAUACCGCAUAAUCUCUAAGGAGCAAAGGUGUCUUGUAGCAAUACAAGAUUUCGCUUUAGGAUGAGCCUACGUCGGAUUAGCUAGUUGGUAGAGUAAUAGCCUACCAAGGCGACGAUCCGUAGCUGGUCUGAGAGGAUGAUCAGCCACACUGGAACUGAGACACGGUCCAGACUCC